rnacentral:rRNA from 1 species
GAUGAACGCUAGCGGCGCGCUUAACGCAUGCAAGUCGAGCGAUGAGGCUCCCUUCGGGGAGUACAUCAGCGGCAGACGGGUGAGUAACACGUAGAUAACCUGCCCUCAAGACGGGGACAACCGGUGGAAACAGCGGCUAAUACCCGAUAUGCUCACAGGAUCGGGAGGUCGAGUGAGGAAAGCGCCCCUUCGGGGGAGAGUGUUUGAGGAGGGAUCUGCGGCCCAUCAGCUAGUUGGUGAGGUAACGGCUCACCAAGGCGAAGACGGGUAGGGGGUGUGAGAGCAUGGCCCCCCACAAUGGGGACUGAGACACGGCCCAUACUCCUACGGGAGGCAGCAGCGGGGAAUAUUGCGCAAUGGACGGAAGUCAGACGCAGCGACGCCGCGUGGGUGAGGAAGGCCUUCGGGUUGUAAAGCCCUUUUCAGGGGAGCGAGAAAGGACGGUACCCUUGGAAUAAGCGUCGGCUAACUACGUGCCAGCAGCCGCGGUAAGACGUAGGACGCAAGCGUUAUCCGGAUUUACUGGGCGUAAAGCGCCUGUAGGCGGUCAAGUAAGUCGGAUGUGAAAGCCCCGUGCUCAACGCGGGGAAGCCAUUCGAUACUGCGUGACUAGAGAACGGCAGAGGGAAACGGAAUUUCUGGUGUAGCGGUAAAAUGCGCAGAGAUCAGAAAGAACACCGAUGGCGAAGGCAGUUUCCUAGGCCGCAUCUGACGCUGAGAGGCGAAAGCUAGGGGAGCAAACAGGAUUAGAGACCCUGGUAGUCCUAGCUGUAAACGAUGG